rnacentral:rRNA from 1 species
AUUGAACGCUGGCGGCAUGCCUAACACAUGCAAGUCGAACGGCAGCACGGGAGCUUGCUCCUGGUGGCGAGUGGCGGACGGGUGAGUAAUGCAUAGGAAUCUGCCCAGUAGCGGGGGACAACUUGGGGAAACUCAAGCUAAUACCGCAUACGCCCUACGGGGGAAAGCGGGGGACCUUCGGGCCUCGCACUAUUGGAUGAGCCUACGUCAGAUUAGCUUGUUGGUGGGGUAAAGGCCUACCAAGGCGACGAUCUGUAGCUGGUCUGAGAGGACGAUCAGCCACACUGGGACUGAGACACGGCCCAGACUCCUACGGGAGGCAGCAGUGGGGAAUAUUGCACAAUGGGCGAAAGCCUGAUGCAGCAAUGCCGCGUGUGUGAAGAAGGCCUGCGGGUCGUAAAGCACUUUCAGUAGGGAGGAAACAGUAGCCGGUUAAUAUCCGGUUGCCUUGACGUUACCUACAGAAGAAGCACCGGCUAACUCUGUG